UUUUGGUUUUUCAGAUCAAAAAGCUUUUUCCAAUAGAAAACAGAAUAAAAACAAUGGCAGCAGCAACAUCAGCUUCUUUGUUUUCAAUUGGAUCUUCUUACUCGUCUAAAGCCAGCUCAUUUACACCACAGUCUAGGGCACAAGCUGUGAACUUUAACUCAAUUCCUAGUUUCAUCGGUCUUAGAUCAACCUCACUCAUUUAGAAAGGCGGCGGAAAAAAAAAGUCUAAG